ACCUCGCUGGCUCAGUUGGUAGAGCAAGGGACUCUUGAUCUUGGGGUUGUGAGUUUGAGCCCCAUGCUGGGUG
rnacentral:tRNA from 1 species